GCCCUCCUGGGAUCUUGUCUGGAACAUAGCUUGUAUUCUGGCAACUUCAGAAACAGGAGAGCAAGGAGGGCUGGCAAAGGCCCCCACUGCAUUUCUAGCUUGCUCAGGGGCCGGCAGUUUGGAAGACACUCUGCGGUCGUG
rnacentral:snoRNA from 1 species